rnacentral:rRNA from 1 species
UACAGAGGUCUCAAGCGUUGUUCGGAUUCAUUGGGCGUAAAGGGUGCGUAGGCGGCGAGGUAAGUCAGGUGUGAAAUCCCGGAGCUCAACUCCGGAACUGCACUUGAUACUGCCUUGCUAGAGUACUGGAGAGGAGAUUGGAAUUUACGGUGUAGCAGUGAAAUGCGUAGAUAUCGUAAGGAAGACCAGUGGCGAAGGCGAAUCUCUGGACAGUUACUGACGCUGAGGCACGAAGGCCAGGGGAGCAAACGGG